rnacentral:tRNA from 1 species
GCCCGGAUGGUGGAAUUGGUAGACACAAGGGACUUAAAAUCCCUCGGCCGCAAGGCUGUGCCGGUUCAAGCCCGGCUCCGGGUACCA